rnacentral:rRNA from 1 species
GACAGAGGUGCCGAGCGUUAGGCGGAAUCACUGGGCUUAAAGCGUGUGUAGGCGGGCGGGCAAGUACCUUGUGAAAUCCCACGGCUCAACCGUGGAACGGCUGGGUAUACUGGGUAUCUUGAGCCACUUAGGGGCAACCGGAACAAACGGUGGAGCGGUGAAAUGCGUAGAUAUCGUUUGGAACGCCAAUGGUGAAAACAGGUUGCUGGGAGUGUGCUGACGCUGAGACACGAAAGCCAGGGGAGCAAACGGG